rnacentral:rRNA from 1 species
AGCGAACGCUGGCGGCAGGCCUAACACAUGCAAGUCGAACGAACUCUUCGGAGUUAGUGGCGGACGGGUGAGUAACACGUGGGAACGUGCCUUUUGGUUCGGAAUAACUCAGGGAAACUUGUGCUAAUACCGAAUGUGCCCUUCGGGGGAAAGAUUUAUCGCCAUUAGAGCGGCCCGCGUCUGAUUAGCUAGUUGGUGAGGUAACGGCUCACCAAGGCGACGAUCAGUAGCUGGUCUGAGAGGAUGACCAGCUACACUGGGACUGAGACACGGCCCAGACUCCUACGGGAGGCAGCAGUGGGGAAUCUUGCGCAAUGGGCGAAAGCCUGACGCAGCCAUGCCGCGUGAAUGAUGAAGGUCUUAGGAUUGUAAAAUUCUUUCACCGGGGACGAUAAUGACGGUACCCGGAGAAGAAGCCCCGGCUAACUUCGUG